CGUCCACAGGGUAAUCAUCUUUCACCCAGGGGGUGGCACAUCGGGCUACAGCCUGAGCCCUGCUGUCACUUUAGGUUUGAAGGUUGAGGCCAGGUCUCACUAAGUUACUAAUUGCUCAGACUGGAUUCCCAUUUGGGACCCUCCUGCCUCAGCCUCUCACAGUGCUGGGAUUACAGUGUGUGCUGCCACACCUGACUUCCCUCUCCUCACAUUAUAAAAUCAUCAGCUAUUUUGGCAAGCACAGGUGUCGUGUUGGAACCAGACAAUACCUAGUGUGUUCUCUGUGUGAGACUGACGGAGCAGGCCCUGCAAAGGCUCUCCGGUGUUCUAGACAGGUCAUGAAAGUCAGCACUUGGGAUUCUGUGCUCAGCGGAAUUCACGUCUCAUGGUCUGGGGCUGCCGGAUUUGGUGUUUGGCGAAGAGCUGUUUUCUGGCCCCCUGGGUGGCUCCUCACGGUGUCCUCGAAAGGGUAAGGACCAGGGACACAUCUUGCUUGGGCCUGUCUUCUAAGGCCAGCAGUCCCCCUCAUGAGGGCUCUGUGUUCAUCACCUCUGGCCUCCCAAAGCUCACACCUUGAAAGGGCUGAGGACUUCAGCAAGACCUCUCCCUCUGAGCUGGAGGGAAAGUGAAGAGGAGAAUUAGCUUUUCCUGCAGAAGCCGGGCUGAAGCUUUCAUUGUUUGACAGCUGCUCCCCAAGGAGCCACUUCCAGAUUAGCUCCUGGGGUCUAAAUAAAGUAGUCAGUGUUCCUGCAGCCGGCUACCUGGGGAACCGCACUGGGGAGGUUUCUGUUUGCUGCUGGCUUGGCUUCUACUAAUGGAAUUCUCCCCUUGUUACGUGUUCUAUUUAUUUCUUCACCACGGGGCUGGGGCCAGGAGCCAGGGCCCUGUGCACCCGGGCAGAGCACUCCACGGAGCAGCCCCUCAGCCCCACUGU